GGAAACUGUGGAGCCUCAGAUAUCUUGUACUCAACAAGAACCCUGUGACUCAUUUGUUGCCCAUCCUUGGCCAGCAGUAUACAACCUGCCUGUCUUUCCCCCUGAAUUGCAAAAUUGUUGUUUGACAGCAUCACCAAGCACACCUGGUACCCAAAUCAUAAAAUGUAUGGAGAUGUUCUGGGUUGUUUGAUCACCCGCUUUCCAUUUUUGAAGGAUGACAGCUCCUCUGGUUAUG